rnacentral:rRNA from 1 species
UAACACAUGCAAGUCGAACGAGCGAGAGAGAGCUUGCUUUCUCGAGCGAGUGGCGAACGGGUGAGUAACGCGUGAGGAACCUGCCUCAAAGAGGGGGACAACAGUUGGAAACGACUGCUAAUACCGCAUAAGCCCACGGCUCGGCAUCGAGCAGAGGGAAAAGGAGCAAUCCGCUUUGAGAUGGCCUCGCGUCCGAUUAGCUAGUUGGUGAGGUAACGGCCCACCAAGGCGACGAUUGGUAGCCGGACUGAGAGGUUUGAACGGCCACAUUGGGACUGAGACACGGCCCAGACUCCUACGGGAGGCAGCAGUGGGGGAUAUUGCACAAUGGGGGAAACCCUGAUGCAGCGACGCCGCGUGGAGGAAGAAGGUUUUCGGAUUGUAAACUCCUGUCGUUAGGGACGAUAAUGACGGUACCUAACAAGAAAGCACCGGCUAACUACGUG